rnacentral:rRNA from 1 species
UGCAGUCGAACGGCAGCACGAGAGAGCUUGCUCUCUUGGUGGCGAGUGGCGGACGGGUGAGUAAUAUAUCGGAACGUGCCCAGUAGCGGGGGAUAACUACUCGAAAGAGUGGCUAAUACCGCAUACGCCCUACGGGGGAAAGGGGGGGAUUCUUCGGAACCUCUCACUAUUGGAGCGGCCGAUAUCGGAUUAGCUAGUUGGUGGGGUAAAGGCUCACCAAGGCAACGAUCCGUAGCUGGUUUGAGAGGACGACCAGCCACACUGGGACUGAGACACGGCCCAGACUCCUACGGGAGGCAGCAGUGGGGAAUUUUGGACAAUGGGGGAAACCCUGAUCCAGCCAUCCCGCGUGUAUGAUGAAGGCCUUCGGGUUGUAAAGUACUUUUGGCAGAGAAGAAAAGGUAUCUCCUAAUACGAGAUACUGCUGACGGUAUCUGCAGAAUAAGCACCGGCUAACUACGUGCCAGCAGCCGCGGUAAUACGUAGGGUGCAAGCGUUAAUCGGAAUUACUGGGCGUAAAGCGUGUGUAGGCGGUUCGGAAAGAAAGAUGUGAAAUCCCAGGGCUCAACCUUGGAACUGCAUUUUUAACUGCCGAGCUAGAGUAUGUCAGAGGGGGGUAGAAUUCCACGUGUAGCAGUGAAAUGCGUAGAUAUGUGGAGGAAUACCGAUGGCGAAGGCAGCCCCCUGGGAUAAUACUGACGCUCAGACACGAAAGCGUGGGGAGCAAACAGGAUUAGAUACCCUGGUAGUCCACGCCCUAAACGAUGUCAACUAGCUGUUGGGGCCGUUAGGCCUUAGUAGCGCAGCUAACGCGUGAAGUUGACCGCCUGGGGAGUACGGUCGCAAGAUUAAAACUCAAAGGAAUUGACGGGGACCCGCACAAGCGGUGGAUGAUGUGGAUUAAUUCGAUGCAACGCGAAAAACCUUACCUACCCUUGACAUGUCUGGGAAUCCCGAAGAGAUUUGGGGAGUGCUCGCAAGAGAACCGGGAACACAGGUGCUGCAUGGCUGUCGUCAGCUCGUGUCNGUNGAGAUGUGGGUAGUCCCGCACGAGCGCAAC